rnacentral:rRNA from 1 species
UUCGCAAUGCCCGAAAGGGUGACGAAGCGACGCCGCGUGUGGGAAGAAGGCCUUCGGGUUGUAAACCACUGUUGGGAGUUAGGAAAUGUGGAGGUGUUAAUAGCGCUUUCACUUGACUAAAGCUCCAGAGGAAGCCACGGCUAACUCUGUGCCAGCAGCCGCGGUAAUACAGAGGCGGCAAGCGUUGUUCGGAAUUAUUGGGCGUAAAGAGCACGUAGGCGGCUCUGCAAGUCAGCUGUGAAAGCCUUCUGCUUAACGGAAGAACGGCAGUUGAAACUACAGGGCUUGAGUGCGGGAGGGGAGAGUGGAACUUCUGGUGGAGCGGUGAAAUGCGUAGAUAUCAGAAGGAACGCCGGCGGCGAAAGCGGCUCUCUGGUCCGUAACUGACGCUGAGUGUGCGAAAGCUAGGGGAGCAAACGGGAUUAGAUACCCCGGUAGUCCUAGCCGUAAACGAUGGGCACUAAGUAGAGGGGUUUUA